CCCCCUGGCAGUGGGCAAGGAGACACCUGACUGGUGGUGUUGCUCUUAUAUCAAUCCAGGGCCAAGCAGGUAGACAGUCCUUAGUUUAUCCUAGUUUGAUGCCUGUGUCGGUGGCCAAAGCUGUUUCAUGCCUGAGCCACAUAA
rfam:Myotis davidii contig25443, whole genome shotgun sequence.